AGAGUUAAAUAGCACGUGAAAUUGUUGAAAGGGAAACGAUUGAAGUCAGUCGUACUUACGAGUAAUCAACCUUUAGGUGCGAUCUUGACGUGGACAUUUAAGUGUUAAAAUCUUUAUGUACUCAAGUUUGUGCUUUGGGGCGUACUUGCUCGUUUGUAGGUUAACAUCAGUUUUGGUCAUUACAAAAUGACUGGAGGAAUGUAGCUUCGAUUUCGAUUGAAGUGUUAUAGCCUCUGGUAGAUGUAAUGGUCGGGAUUGAGGAUUGCAACGAAUACCCAGUCGGGCUAUCCGUCUGGUCUCUGACCAUCGCUUUGUUGCCGAAAGCUUGCUUACGGUUACCGAGUUGCUAGUCAAUAGGUUGGAACGGAUUAAAUUCGUUAAGGAUGUUGACGUAAUGGCUUUAAACGACC
rnacentral:rRNA from 1 species